GGUGACGACGAUCUUCGUGGUGGAAGAGUGGUGUUUCCCUCGCGAGACUUUAUCGCUCCCCCGACGCGCUUCUCACUAAGGACGGAGCAUUCUUCGCCAUUUCCCUCGGUGGUAAGCGUUUCCUUGCUCUGGUUUCUCUGCGGGACUAACAGUGGACUCCCUUUGUGCCUACAGCAAAUACCUGUGAUCUCUCGCUCUUUCAUCGCCAUGCUUUGCAGCUGCUCCAGUUGCCACUCUAGCAUGUCGAUCGUGUCCUGCUUGUCAACCAGUGCCGAUUGCUG
rnacentral:lncRNA from 1 species